GGUUCCAUGGUGUAAUGGUUAGCACUCUGGACUCUGAAUCCUGUGGUUUGAGUUCAAAUCACAGUGGAAACU